rnacentral:rRNA from 1 species
AUUGAACGCUGGCGGCAGGCCUAACACAUGCAAGUCGAACGAGUGGCGGACGGGUGAGUAAUGUCUGGGAAACUGCCUGAUGGAGGGGGAUAACUACUGGAAACGGUAGCUAAUACCGCAUACCAUCAGAUGUGCCAAGAUGGGAUGAGCUAGUAGGUGGGGUAACGGCUCACCUAGGCGAAGAUCCCUAGCUGGGCUGCGAGGAUGACCAGCCACAAUGGAACUGAGACACGGUCCAGACUCCUACGGGAGGCAGCAGUGGGGAAUAUUGCACAAUGGGCGCAAGCCUGAUGCAGCCAUGCCGCGUGUAUGAAGAAGGCCUUCGGGUUGUAAAGUACUUUCAGCGGUGAGGCGUUAUCCGCAGAAGAAGCACCGGCUAACUCCGUGCCAGCAGCCGCGGUAAUAC